rnacentral:lncRNA from 1 species
AGAAGAAAUGUGCACGGAAGAUACUGCAUACCACUAUCUACAUAGGAGGUUUUCUAUUGAUGAAGUCUCGUUCUAUCGCCCAGGCUGGAGUGCAGUGGCGUGAUCUCAGCUCACUGGAACCUCCACGUCCUGGCUUCCAGUGAUUCUCCUGCUUCAGCCUCCUGAGUAGCUGGGAUUACAGGCACCCGCCACGACGCCUGGCAAAUUUUUGUAUUUUUAGUAGAGACAGGGUUUCACCAUGUUGGCCAGGCUGGUCUUGAACUCCUGACCUGACUGAAGCAAACUGCCCGCCUCGGCCUCCCAAAGUGCUGGGAUUAGAGGUGUGAGCUACUGCGCCCAGCCAAAUCUAUUUUUUAAACAAUAGAACCCCUGAUUUAAUUGAUACCUGACAUGGAAGUCUAACACUCACAGCAGAUAAAGUGAAAUUGCUAUGCCUAGAAUGUGUGUGGGAGUGUGGGGGGACAAGAGCCCUUUCCACUCAGCUCUCUCCCUUUUCUCUGUGCCCUCCGCAAUCCCUGCAGCCCUGGAGGGCUUUGAAACACUUGAAGGAUCCACUGGACACAGACUGAAAACCACUAAUUUCUAAGUCCUAAUGGAAAACUACCGAGGGUUUGAGCAAGAGUGUUAUUUAAUCGAAGCACUAUUUUAGGAAGAUAAAUCUGACAAGAUGGAUUGUAGAGAAGCCAAGAAGCAGGGAGACCAAUUAAGAGAUUAUUGAAAAAAUUCAGGCCAAAUUAACAUAGGUUCUGGGGAAUGACUGAAGGUGGGGGUAAAAAGAGAGAGACACCUGGGAUGGCUUCAAGGUUUAAUGCUGCACGACUGCAACAUUAAUUAAUAGACUGAAGAUACCUGUAAGGUCUCCUGGAUCAUCCCUCUUUUAUGGGAGGCAAAACGUCUCCAAAAUGACCACAAGGUGCCUCUGUUCUUUAAGAGGGCAGUCAACUGUUUAACAUUUUUCCAAAAAUGUACAUUUUACCUCAGUUGAUAAAUUAUAUGUGCUCCU